rnacentral:tRNA from 2 species
AGGGGUGUAGUUUAAUGGUAGAAUAGAGGUCUCCAAAACCUUUGAUGAAGGUUCGAUUCCUUCCGCCCCUG